rnacentral:rRNA from 1 species
AGUGAACGCUGGCGGUAGGCCUAACACAUGCAAGUCGAACGGCAGCACAGUAAGAGCUUGCUCUUACGGGUGGCGAGUGGCGGACGGGUGAGGAAUACAUCGGAAUCUACUUUUUCGUGGGGGAUAACGUAGGGAAACUUACGCUAAUACCGCAUACGACCUACGGGUGAAAGCAGGGGAUCUUCGGACCUUGCGCGAUUGAAUGAGCCGAUGUCGGAUUAGCUAGUUGGCGGGGUAAAGGCCCACCAAGGCGACGAUCCGUAGCUGGUCUGAGAGGAUGAUCAGCCACACGGGAACUGAGACACGGUCCAGACUCCUACGGGAGGCAGCAGUGGGGAAUAUUGGACAAUGGGCGCAAGCCUGAUCCAGCCAUACCGCGUGGGUGAAAAAGGCCUUCGGGUUGUAAAGCCCUCUUGUUGGGAAAGAAAAGCAGCAGGUUAAUACCCCGCUGUUCUGACGGUACCCAAAGAAUAAGCACCGGCUAACUUCGUG